rnacentral:rRNA from 1 species
GACAGAGGGUGCAAACGUUGUUCGGAAUUACUGGGCGUAAAGCGCGUGUAGGCUGCUCUGCAAGUCGGAUGUGAAAGCCCUGGGCUCAACCUAGGAAGUGCACUCGAAACUGCAGAGCUGGAGUCCUGGAGAGGAAGGCGGAAUUCUCGGUGUAGAGGUGAAAUUCGUAGAUAUCGAGAGGAACACCUGUGGCGAAGGCGGCCUUCUGGACAGUGACUGACGCUGAGACGCGAAAGCGUGGGGAGCAAACAGG